rnacentral:rRNA from 1 species
CCUACGGGGGGCAGCAGUGAGGAAUAUUGGUCAAUGGACGAGAGUCUGAACCAGCCACGCAGCGUGAAGGAUGACUGCCCUAUGGGUUGUAAACUUCUUUUAUAUGGGAAUAAAACGUUCCACGUGUGGGAUUUUGUAUGUACCAUAUGAAUAAGGAUCGGCUAACUCCGUGCCAGCAGCCGCGGUAAUACGGAGGAUCCGAGCGUUAUCCGGAUUUAUUGGGUUUAAAGGGAGCGUAGGUGGAUUGUUAAGUCAGUUGUGAAAGUUUGCGGCUCAACCGUAAAAUUGCAGUUGAAACUGGCAGUCUGGAGUGCAGUAGAGGUAGGCGGAAUUCGUGGUGUAGCGGUGAAAUGCUUAGAUAUCACGAAGAACUCCAGUUGCGAAGGCAGUUCACUGGACUGCAACUGACACUGAGGCUCGAAAGUGUGGGUAUCAAACAGGAUUAGAUACCCUAGUAGUC